UCCGGAGGGUGCAAGCGUUAUCCGGAUUCACUGGGUUUAAAGGGUGCGUAGGUGGGCAGGUAAGUCAGUGGUGAAAUCUCCAAGCUUAACUUGGAAACUGCCGUUGAUACUAUCUGUCUUGAAUAUUGUGGAGGUGAGCGGAAUAUGUCAUGUAGCGGUGAAAUGCUUAGAUAUGACAUAGAACACCAAUUGCGAAGGCAGCUCACUACACAAUCAUUGACUCUGAGGCACGAAAGCGUGGGGAUCAAACAGG
rnacentral:rRNA from 1 species